AUGCCCCUUUCGGGCGGCCCCGAGGCGCGGACAGAGGCGGCAUUGAGCGCGGGGGCGGCCCGUGGCACCGCACGGAGCGCUGCGGGCCUGGAAGCGCCGCGUCCCACCCCGCCCGUGCCCCGGCCCCGCCGCAGCCUCAGAGCCCCCCGCCCCGCGCCUGGCCCCGGGCAGCAGCGCUCCGUCGCCGACCCCGGCGCUACCGCCCCGAGCCGCAGCGUUCGGGACCCAUCGCCGCGCACAGGACCCGGGCAGCCGUUACCCGGCACACCGCAGCCACCCCGCGCCUCGCCCCCGGCCCCAGCCGCCCCUCGGCCCCUCGCUCACCGCGGCGCCGCCCGAGCGCAGCCGCCGCCUUCCCCGCCGCCAGCAGCCGCCGCCUACAGCUCCCGGCAGCCCCCGCGCCCCGCUACGGCAGCCGGCAGCGACCAAAACAGCGCGGGGCGCGCACGGCGACGGCGAGAACUACAGCUCCCGGCAGCCCCCGCGCUCCGCGGCCGCCGUGGUGGCGCAGUGCCGCGGGGGCUGCCGGGAGCUGCGGUGCACGCUGCUCGGGAGCGGGCCGCCCUGCCCUGGGGCUGCGGAUCGUACUGCCCCCGGGGAAUGGGAACCGCGGUGCGGGCUGUGCUGCGGCCUAGCGCGGGUGGAGCGAGAGGAGCUGAGUGGGAAGCGCGUCCCAGCCGCAGUGGGGCCCUGGCAGUGGGGGAGACAGCGGGAGCGAUGCACGGAGUGCGGCGCGGGCACAGCCUGGGGCUGUCCAGCAUCGGCCCCGUGUCCCCGGGCAGCUGCCGUGCUCCAGGGCCCCUGUUCCUCAGGCUGAGCUGCCCCGUGAAGGGGCAGACCCCGCUGUCCCAACACAGACGUGGUGGCACGUCGCCUGGCUCUGUGCUCAGGGCACGUCCCUGCUCAGGGCUCCAUGGGGCGCUGGGCAUAGGGCAGGGCCAUGGCUCCGUGCUGUGGGGCAGACCCUGCUCCGGAGCACAGCCGCAGCCCCCAGGCCCUGCCCUCCACGCUGCCUCUCACAUCUGGAGCCGCUUUUUGGCACAGACGCCCACAUUCCCUGAGGCCGGGCCGGUGACGGUGGUGGCUGUGGGCCUGGUGCUGGCAGGCGUGGGGUGCACACAUGGUUAA
rnacentral:lncRNA from 1 species